GACGAACGCUGGCGGCGUGCUUAACACAUGCAAGUCGAACGAAGUGGCGAACGGGUGAGUAACGCGUAAUCAACCUGCCCUUCAGAGGGGGACAACAGUUGGAAACGACUGCUAAUCCCGCAAACUGAAGGAGGGGAUUGCGUGUGAUAAGCUAGUUGGAGGGGUAAAGGCUCACCAAGGCGAUGAUCAGUAGCCGGUCUGAGGGGAUGAACGGCCACAAUGGGACUUGGGCACGGGCCAGACUCCUACGGGAGGCAGCAGUGGGGGAUCUUCCGCAAUGGACGAAAGUCUGACGGAGCAACGCCGCGUGAGUGAUGACGGCCUUCGGGUUGUAAAGCUCUGUUAAUCGGGACGCGGUACCGGAAGAGAAAGCCACGGCUAACUACGUGCCAGCAGCCGCUGUAAUAC
rnacentral:rRNA from 1 species